rnacentral:rRNA from 1 species
UACACAUGCAAGUCGAACGCCCCGCAAGGGGAGUGGCAGACGGGUGAGUAACGCGUGGGAACAUACCCUUUCCUGCGGAAUAGCUCCGGGAAACUGGAAUUAAUACCGCAUACGCCCUACGGGGGAAAGAUUUAUCGGGGAAGGAUUGGCCCGCGUUGGAUUAGCUAGUUGGUGGGGUAAAGGCCUACCAAGGCGACGAUCCAUAGCUGGUCUGAGAGGAUGAUCAGCCACAUUGGGACUGAGACACGGCCCAAACUCCUACGGGAGGCAGCAGUGGGGAAUAUUGGACAAUGGGCGCAAGCCUGAUCCAGCCAUGCCGCGUGAGUGAUGAAGGCCUUAGGGUUGUAAAGCUCUUUCACCGGAGAAGAUAAUGACGGUAUCCGGAGAAGAAGCCCCGGCUAACUUCGUGCCAGCAGCCGCGGUAAUACGAAGGGGGCUAGCGUUGUUCGGAAUUACUGGGCGUAAAGCGCACGUAGGCGGAUAUUUAAGUCAGGGGUGAAAUCCCAGAGCUCAACUCUGGAACUGCCUUUGAUACUGGGUAUCUUGAGUAUGGAAGAGGUAAGUGGAAUUCCGAGUGUAGAGGUGAAAUUCGUAGAUAUUCGGAGGAACACCAGUGGCGAAGGCGGCUUACUGGUCCAUUACUGACGCUGAGGUGCGAAAGCGUGGGGAGCAAACAGGAUUAGAUA